rnacentral:rRNA from 1 species
UAGAAGAAAUCUAAGGUGUGACCUGCCCCAUGAUUUUCAAAUUAACCAGCAUAACCACUUUUAAGAAAAUUCAAAGGACGCAGUAACCUAACUGUGAUAAUGUAGCAUAAUCACUCGCCAUUUAAUUGAUGGAUAGUAUGAAUGGUUAAACGAAUUCUUCACUGUCUCAGGAAGAGACUCCAUGAAAUUAAAAUAAUAGUUAAGAUGCUAUUUAAAAUUGUAAGACGAAAAGACCCUAUAGAGCUUAACUAUAUUCUCUUUAAAGAUAAAAAACAAGGAGAAUGGUAGUUUAGUUGGGGCGACUGUCUUCUAAAAUAAACGAAGACAAGCAAAAUUAAUAAAUAAAAUUUAUUGUAUAACUAAUAAGUUUAACAAUUACGAAAGUAGGCUAUACUGACCCGUUAUAAAAAAGUGAUAAAUAUAACGAUUAAUAAAUAAAAGCUACCUUAGGGAUAACAGGAUAAUUUUGUUCUAGAGAUCUUAUCGAAAACAAAGUUUGUCACCUCUAUGUUGAAUUAAGAUAUCCCAAUAACGCAGAAGUUAUUAAAGGUAGGUCUGUUCGACCUUUAAAAU